CAGGGAGUAGAUGAAAGUGUAAUAAGAGGAUCACGGCGCUUGCACACCCAUUGAAUAUUUUCAGAAGGUCUUUCAUGUGCAGCUGCCAAUGAUGUGGUAUUGACGAUGGUUAUGCACACAGGUUCUAGAGACUACUGAUCUUAGUAACAAUGUGAAGCAUGAACAGCUGGUACAUGAUGUCCACCUAGGUGUGAGCUAGGUGGAGGCGUGAAUUGAGCGAAGGCUGGCGGCGCGAAAGCGAGCGUGGGUCACGGGCGCAGCUGAGCGGUCA